AAAUUCCUGCGNUGUUCGUGAUGUUAAACUUUUGCUACCUUAUAUUUUCUGACAGGGGNNGGUCCCUGAAGAAGGUGUGCAAGCCUNCCAUGCUGAAGGAAGCCUGAAUUCUUCAUACAUUUCCCCACCUAUUGGGCGAGGUACCAAAAGCCCUCUUUUACACACGGCAUUGCGGGAAUUAU
rnacentral:other from 2 species